GAUGAACGCUGGCGGCGUGCCUAAUACAUGCAAGUCGAGCGAACGUUCUUCUGAACGUUAGCGGCGGACGGGUGAGUAACACGUAGGUAACCUACCUUGUAGAUGGGGAUAACACCGAGAAAUCGGUGCUAAUACCGAAUAACAAUGAAGAUCACAUGAUUUUCAUUUGAACGUGGGCUUCGGCUUACACUAUGAGAUGGACCUGCGGCGCAUUAGCUAGUUGGUGAGGUAACGGCUCACCAAGGCGACGAUGCGUAGCCGACCAGCGAGGGUGAUCGGCCACACUGGGACUGAGACACGGCCCAGACUCCUACGGGAGGCAGCAGUAGGGAAUUUUCCACAAUGGACGAAAGUCUGAUGGAGCAACGCCGCGUGUGCGAAGAAGGCCUUCGGGUUGUAAAGCACUGUUGUAAGGGAAGAAUGGGUGAGAGAGGAAAUGCUCUUGCUAUGACGGUACCUUACCAGAAAGCCACGGCUAACUACGUGCCAGCCGCCGC
rnacentral:rRNA from 1 species